GACGAACGCUGGCGGCGUGCUUAACACAUGCAAGUCGAACGCGCCUGUCCUCCUGGUUUUCCGGGGGGUGGGUGAGUGGCGAACGGGUGAGUAACACGUGAGUAACCUGCCCCCUUCUUCGGGAUAACGGUCUGAAAGGGCUGCUAAUACCGGGUAUUCACUGGUCUCCGCAUGGGGGCUGGUGGAAAGGUUGUUUUUCUGGUGGGGGAUGGGCUCGCGGCCUAUCAGCUUGUUGGUGGGGUGAUGGCCCACCAAGGCUUUGACGGGUAGCCGGCCUGAGAGGGUGACCGGUCACAUUGGGACUGAGAUACGGCCCAGACUCCUACGGGAGGCAGCAGUGGGGAAUAUUGCACAAUGGGCGCAAGCCUGAUGCAGCGACGCCGCGUGAGGGAUGGAGGCCUUCGGGUUGUGAACCUCUUUCGCCC
rnacentral:rRNA from 1 species